CUACGGGGGGCACCAGUGGGGAAUAUUGCACAAUGGAGGAAACUCUGAUGCAGCAACGCCGCGUGGAGGAUGACACUUUUCGGAGCGUAAACUCCUUUUAUAUAGGAAGAAGAUGACGGUACUAUAUGAAUAAGCGCCGGCUAACUGCCGUGCCAGCAGCCGCGGUAAUACGGAGGGCGUAAGCGUUACACGGAAUCACUGGGCGUAAAGAGCGUGUAGGCGGAUUAAAAAGUCAGAAGUGAAAUCCUAUAGCUUAACUAUAGAACUGCUUCUGAAACUCUUAAUCUAGAAUAUGGGAGAGGUAGAUGGAAUUUCUGGUGGAGGGGUAAAAUCCGUAGAGAUCAGAAGGAAUACCGAUUGCGAAGGCGAUCUACUAGAACAUUAUUGACGCUGAGACGCGAAAGCGUGGGGAGCAAACAGGAUUAGAUACCCGGGUAGUC
rnacentral:rRNA from 1 species